rnacentral:rRNA from 1 species
GAAGCGGGAAGAGCUCAAAUUUAAAAUCUGGCGGCCUUCUGGACGUCCGAGUUGUAGUCUGGAGAAGUGUUAUCCGCGUCGGACCGUGUACAAGUCUCCUGGAACGGAGCGUCAUAGAGGGUGAGAAUCCCGUCCAUGACACGGACGCCCGAUGCUAUGUGAGGCACUCUCGAAGAGUCGAGUUGUUUGGGAAUGCAGCUCAAAAUGGGUGGUAAAUUCCAUCUAAAGCUAAAUAUUGGCGAGAGACCGAUAGCGAACAAGUACCGUGAGGGAAAGAUGAAAAGCACUUUGGAAAGAGAGUUAAACAGUACGUGAAAUUGUUGAAAGGGAAACGCUUGAAGUCAGUCGCGUCCCGUGGAACUCAGCCUGGUUUCGACCUGGUGUACUUUCCAUGUGGACGGGUCAACAUCAAUUUCGGCCGGUGGACAAGGGCGAGGGGAAUGUAGCGUUGCUUCGGCGACGUGUUAUAGCCCCCCGUCGCAUACACUGGCUGGGAUUGAGGACCGCAGCACGCCCUUGUGGCCGGGGGUUCGCCCCACGUAACGUGCUUAGGAUGUUGGCAUAAUGGCUUUAAGCGACCCGUCUUGAAACACGGACCAAGGAGUCUAACAUGCUUGCGAGUGUUCGGGUGGAAAACCCUUGCGCGUAAUGAAAGUGAAAGUUGGGAACCUCCGCGAGGGGGUGCACCGACGCCCGGCCCUGACGUUCUCUGACGGUGCCGCGGUAGAGCACGUAUGUUGGGACCCGAAAGAUGGUGAACUAUGCCUGAAUAGGGCGAAGCCAGAGGAAACUCUGGUGGAGGCUCGUAGCGAUUCUGACGUGCAAAUCGAUCGUCAAAUUUGGGUAUAGGGGCGAAAGACUAAUCGA